GCUUUACACAUAGCAAGUCGAACGGUAACAGAGUCUUCGGAUGCUGACGAGUAGGCGAACGGGUGAGUAAUACAUCGGAACGUGCCUUGUAGUGGGGGAUAACUACUCGAAAGAGUAGCUAAUACCGCAUAGAGAUCUACGGAUGAAAGCAGGGGGACCUAUACGAGGCCUUGUAGCUACUAGAGCGGCUAGAUAGGCAGAUNAGGUAGUUAGGUGGGGUAAAGGCUAUACCAAGCCU
rnacentral:rRNA from 1 species